GAUGAAGAACGUAGCGAAAAGCGAUACUUGGUGUGAAUUGCAGAAUCCCGUGAACCAUCGAGUCUUUGAACGCAAGUUGCGCCCGAAGCCAUUAGGCCGAGGGCACGCCUGCCUGGGCGUCACACGUCGUUGCCCCCCCAUCUACUCCUUCGGGAUUGCGGGGGGCGGAUGAUGGCCUCUCGUGCGCCUCGUCGCGCGGUUGGCCUAAAUGCCAAGUCCUCGGCGACGCACGCCACGACAAUCGGUGGUUGCGAAACCUCGGUUGCCUGUCGUGUGCGGUCGUCGCGCAUCGAGGGCUCGAAAAAAUUGCCGGGCUUCGGCUCGACUUUCAACGCGACCCCAGGUCAGGCGGGGUUACCCGCUGAAUUUAAGCAUAUCAAUAAGCGGAGGA
rnacentral:misc_RNA from 1 species